UCCAGCAUGGCUUAGUGUCUUGCGUGUUGGACUACAACUCUAGAGACCAGGGUUCAAUUCCCUGAUCAGCCA